AACCCUCGCCUUUAGUUGCCCUCAUUUAGUUGGGCACUUUAAAGGAACCGCCGGUGAUAAGCCGGAGGAAGGUGGGGAUGACGUCAAGUCCUCAUGGCCCUUACGCGCUGGGCUACACACGUGCUACAAUGGCGGUGACAGUGGGCAGCAAGCACGCGAGUGUGAGCUAAUCUCCAAAAGCCGUCUCAGUUCGGAUUGUUCUCUGCAACUCGAGAGCAUGAAGGCGGAAUCGCUAGUAAUCGCGGAUCAGCAUGCCGCGGUGAAUACGUUCCCAGGCCUUGUACACACCGCCCGUCACACCAUGGGAGUUGGAUUCACCCGAAGGCGUUGCGCUAACUCGUAAGAGAGGCAGGCGACCACGGUGGGUUUAGCGACUGGGGUGAAGUCGUAACAAGGUAGCCGUAGGGGAACC
rnacentral:rRNA from 1 species